CGGGAAGAAUCAUUCUGUCUCAUAUCUUUUCCGCCUCCGAUUGCACACGCCGAGAGAGCUUCCGUAAGAGGUCGGCGGGCGGAGUCGCGUCUAAGCGUGCUCUGCCAUCACCGAAGCCUCGCACCCUCGGGGCGGGAGGGGAGAGUCUAUGGGAUCCUGUGC
ensembl:ncRNA F25G6.20 ncRNA